AACCAAUGGCCUCUUGAACGUGCAUCGCGCUCUUGGGAUAU
rnacentral:rRNA from 1 species